rnacentral:rRNA from 1 species
GACGAACCGUACGAACGUUAUUCGGAAUCACUGGGCUUAAAGGGUGCGUAGGCGGCGCGGAAAGUUGGGUGUGAAAGCCCUCGGCUCAACCGAGGAGCUGCGCCCAAAACUGCCGUGCUUGAGGGAGACAGAGGUGAGCGGAACUAAGGGUGGAGCGGUGAAAUGCGUUGAUAUCCUUAGGAACACCGGUGGCGAAAGCGGCUCACUGGACCAUAACUGACGCUGAUGCACGAAAGCUAGGGGAGCAAACAGG